rnacentral:rRNA from 1 species
UACGGAGGGUGCAAGCGUUGUUCGGAAUUAUUGGGCGUAAAGCGCGUGCAGGCGGUUGCUUAAGUCUGAUGUGAAAGCCCUGGGCUCAACCUGGGAACUGCAUCCAAAACUACUGAGCUAGAGUACGGUAGAGGGUAGUGGAAUUUCCUGUGUAGCGGUGAAAUCCGUAGAUAUUAGGAGGAACACCGGUGGCGAAGGCGGCUGCCUGGACCGAUACUGACGCUGAGACGCGAAAGCGUGGGGAGCAAACAGGAUUAGAAACCCUAGUAGU